CUGGGUCAAGAUUGGGGUUAGGAUUUGGUUUCAGGUUAGGGUUAGGAUGAGUAGUUGGGUUAGGUCUAUUAUGGAUGGGUUUGUGUCGAGUUAGGGUUGGGAUGAUUGGUUGGAGUUUGGGUUAGGGUUAGUGUUAGGUUAGGAUUAUGGUUAGGACUAGGAUUCAGAGGUGGGGAUGGUGGUGAAGAGAGUUAGGGUUUGUGGUUAGGAAGAGACUUAGAGGUCGGGGUAGAGUUGGGUUCGGGUUGAAAAGAGGAUGGUUGGGUUUGGGUUAGGUUAGGGCUAGGGUUUGAAGGUGGGGAUGGUGGUGGAGAGAGCUAGGGUUUCGGGUUGGGAAGAUACAUAGAGGUCAGGCUAAAGUUGCAGAGGUGGGGCUAGGGUUGAAGAGAAAGAGAUAGUGGUGGGGAGGGUUAGGGUUGACAGACAGCCGAUAAGGAGAUGGAGAUGGCUAGGAUUUGGGCUUGGUUUAGAGCCAGGGUUUGGGUCACAGAGGUAGGGAUGGUGGCAGAAAGAGCUAUGGGUUGAUUUUGAGAUAGGUUGGAGAGGAAGAGUGGCUUAGGGAUAUAAGAAAAAAAAAGACUGACUGUAGGAGGAGGGGAAAGAGAAUGGAGAAGGAGAUGGUAUCGAAGACGGACUGGUUCAAGUUGACAAUGGAGAGAAGGGGCUUAUGCAAUAACCAACUACCUCACAUCUUCAAGAAAGAAGGAAAAGAGGAGAGGAGCGGUGCUGAUCAUGACCGUCGUUGGUGUGGUUGCU
rnacentral:lncRNA from 1 species